CGAAGUGGAGGCUCGGAUCGAAGAGGUUCAGACCCAGUUGUCUCAACAAAAUCCGGAUGCCCCACCGAUCCAGUUGUCAACCGUCGAGCAGAAUAAAAAUUUUGAACAUGUAAAUUAAUAUGUUUAUCUAGAUAUUUUUACUAAUAAUAAAUGAUACUUAAUUAUUAAUUGAAGAUUAUCACGAAGAAAAGGGGACGGAUAGUCGGGAUCGGUUAAGUGAACGAUGUUCCUAGGGCGACAGUAGCUUACGCUGCUACAAGGGAGGAGGAACAUGUUCGGCUCCGGGAAGAUUUGACAACUGCCAACGGAGUCAUCUCAGAGCUGCAGACCACCAAUGAGCUUUUUACGAAAUUUUUUGACCUCGUCGCAGAUUCAAACCCGAUGCUUGCGCAGCAGUGGCGGAAUGUACGUCCCCGCAUUCACCGCGACCCCACUCCCGAAGAGCAAGCGGAGUUAGAGAGACAAGCUGAAGUCCAUACUUCCCAGCUCCGCGACGAUCUUAACCUUGAUUAGAUUUUUGUAUGUACGUAUUUUGUGUUUCUAUAUUUUUUUAUUUUGGAUAUUACAAUAUUUUUAAUAUAUUAGUGUUUAAUUUUUUUUAAAAAAUUAGAAUUAUUUUUUUUUUAUAAAAUUUUUAUAAAAGAAUUUUAUAAAAAAAUAAAAAAAAAUUUCAAUAAAUUUUUUAUUUAAUAAUAAAUAAAUAUCGAUAUAAUAUUGUCGUGGAAUUUACGACGAAUUGACGUCAAAGUUGAUGUAAGUUCGUCGUAGUCAACUUCGACGUGAAUACAUCGUAAUGUUUACGUCCACAGAACUAUGUUUUUACGUCAAAAAAUUU
rnacentral:lncRNA from 1 species